rnacentral:rRNA from 1 species
GAUGAACGCUGGCGGCGUGCCUAAUACAUGCAAGUCGAGCGAACGGACGAGAAGCUUGCUUUUCUGAUAUUAGCGGCGGACGGGUGAGUAACACGUGGAUAACCUACCUAUAAGACUGGGAUAACUUCGGGAAACCGGAGCUAAUACCGGAUAAUAUUUUGAACCGCAUGGUUCAAAAGUGAAAGACGGUCUUGCUGUCACUUAUAGAUGGAUCCGCGCUGCAUUAGCUAGUUGGUAAGGUAACGGCUUACCAAGGCAACGAUGCAUAGCCGACCUGAGAGGGUGAUCGGCCACACUGGAACUGAGACACGGUCCAGACUCCUACGGGAGGCAGCAGUAGGGAAUCUUCCGCAAUGGGCGAAAGCCUGACGGAGCAACGCCGCGUGAGUGAUGAAGGUCUUCGGAUCGUAAAACUCUGUUAUUAGGGAAGAACAUAUGUGUAAGUAACUGUGCACAUCUUGACGGUACCUAAUCAGAAAGCCACGGCUAACUACGUG